rnacentral:rRNA from 3 species
UUUUAAAGAGAGUUUGAUCCUGGCUCAGGACGAACGCUGGCGGCGUGCCUAAUACAUGCAAGUCGAACGAA